AUUGAACGCUGGCGGCAUGCCUUACACAUGCAAGUCGAACGGUAACAGGUCUUCGGAUGCUGACGAGUGGCGAACGGGUGAGUAAUACAUCGGAACGUGCCCGAUCGUGGGGGAUAACGAAGCGAAAGCUUUGCUAAUACCGCAUAAGAUCUACGGAUGAAAGCAGGGGACCGCAAGGCCUUGCGCGAACGGAGCGGCCGAUGGCAGAUUAGGUAGUUGGUGGGAUAAAAGCUUACCAAGCCGACGAUCUGUAGCUGGUCUGAGAGGACGACCAGCCAACCUGGGACUGAGACACGGCCCAGACUCCUACGGGAGGCAGCAGUGGUGAAUUUUGGACAAUGGGCGAAAGCCUGAUCCAGCCAUGCCGCGUGCAGGAUGAAGGCCUUCGGGUUUUAAACUGCUUUUGUACGGAACGAAAAGACUCUGGUUAAUACCUGGGGUCCAUGACGGUACCGUAAGAAUAAGCACCGGCUAACUACGUGCCAGCAGCCGCCGUAAUAC
rnacentral:rRNA from 1 species